rnacentral:lncRNA from 1 species
AUUAUGCAUGCAACCCCGAAUUAUGCCCACUGAUCAUCUCAAGGAACCUGAGCAUACUGCAGAUAUCCCCAGGCGAAAGCGAGGACCCAAUUAUAAGAACCUGUGGCCAUUGGCGCUUGGUAAGAACCCAUAUCAGAUAAAUUUGCUCGUGCAAUAGCAUUGAAAUAGAUUCGUUAUGGAGGAACGGCGUGCUUCGAGUCAGCCACGAGUUCACAUCAAAGCUUGCUUGAUGUUUAUUCCUUCCACUGUCACUGUGACACCCAACACAAGGCAACGCAUUGCCAGAUGCAGAACAUGUAUAAGGGAUCUUAGUUUUUUUUGUGCAUGCGCAGCUCCCCUAUUCCCUGGGAUCGUCAUAGCCUUCCGGUGCGAGUGUGCAAAUGUUGUACUGCACCCAUGCAUAUUCCAUGAUUCGACCUGAUGGUUUAGGAGGAAUGACAGAGAGUAAACCCUCAUAGCUCCAUCUGCAGGAAGCAGCCAGUGUUGAGGACGCGAUUGUUGUUUGGAACAGCAGCCCUUGUUCUGGUGGGGGCUCACCACAGCGCCAUGUCCACCAGCAUCGAGACUAAAUAGCAGGAAGGCUUACCUGGCCAUUCAUUUCAGCCAGCCGAACGGCAAGAGGCAGCUUGCAGUCUUCUUUGUAUCACCCACACAUCAUUCAAGGCCAGCUUGGAUAGCAGAGGAAGAUCAGCCCAUCUGAGCCAACUGACAGCCCAGAAGACUGGGAGAUCAGGUUUAACAAGCAGCAGCGGGGCUCAGCACAACGGCAGACAAAGCUGAGGCCCGGGUGCUUGAUAGGCAGACAGGGCUGGGCUUGACCUAGCGCAUGUCUGCUGCUGAGGCUGCCAAAGUCCCCAGCAAGCCCCAGGACGGGUGAGGCUCGUCCUGCUGUCCAUAAAAAUAUUCUGCAUGGCCUGUACAUUCGAUCAAUUCAAGAAUAGGCUUGCAAGCUUGGAUAUCACAGAUGACAGUGCAUGGCCCCGAAUCGUAGUCAGAGCAUAAACUAUCCUGCGAGCUUGGUUCCAAGCACACGGCCACUGCUACAUGAUGAAACACUGGGGAAAGGAGGCCGGGGCAGUGACUUCAAAGCAAGUGUGCAACUGCAGGGAGACAGAGAAAAGUCAGCUGCUGAGCGAGCAGAAGCUUGCUUCGCCCAGGGGCCAGAGGAGCAUGGCCAAGGCUUUGUCGCCCGCCAUGCUGCGGGUAUGCCUCCCUUUGGAAUUCAAGAUUGUAUCUUAGAUAUUACUGUGCGCCAAGAGAGUUCUGUAUC